CCUACGGGAGGCAGCAGUGGGGAAUAUUGGGCAAUGGGGGCAAGUCUGACCCAGCAAUGCCGCGUGAAGGAAGAAGGCUUUCGGAUUGUAAAGUUCUUUUAUGAGGGACGAAAGAAAUGACGGUACCCCAUGAAUAAGCCACGGCUAACUACGUGCCAGCAGCCGCGGUAAUACGUAGGGGGCAAGCGUUAUUCGGAUUUACUGGGGGUAAAGGGGGUGUAGGCGGGGCUGAAAGUUAGAGGUGAAAAUUAUGGGCUCAACCCAGAUGCUGCAUUUGAAACUGUAGUUCUUGGGUGAUGGAGAGGAAGGCGGAAUUCCGUGUGUAGCGGUGGAAUGCGUAGAUAUACGGAGGAACACCAGUGGCGAAGGCGACCUGCUGGACUGUAACUGACGCUGAGGCGCGAAAGUGUGGGGAGCAAACAGGAUUAGAUACCCGAGUAGUC
rnacentral:rRNA from 1 species